GUCCUUAACCAUUGAGCUGUCUCUUUAGCUUUAAUACUAGAAAGAUUUGGCUUAUCAUAUUACAAAUUACAGAAUUUGAAUUUACAUCUGAAUUUCAAUCAUUCUUCUGGGUGCGUUUUGCAUCCCUGGAAGGAAAAAUGGUCAUUAAACUGUAUAUGUAUUGAUAUAGAUUCCCAGUAGAAUCAUCGAUACGCAGUUAGGGUAACCACGUUACUGACAGUGUCACCUCACAUUGUCAUGACAUCAUGUGUCUUUACUUGCCUGCAUAUCUUGUUUGAUCUCUCAGCAUUCGUCACUAAUUACAUAGAUGUUUUAUCCCAAUGUUUUCUUUCUCUAGUUUCUCACAAAUAAUUGUGUAAGGAACAAUUUUCAGCAUGAUUUUCACCAGAGUAAGAUGCACGUCAAAUCUUUUUCAGUGAUGAGAGCUUCCUGUAUUUAUUGAAUUUCGUGAACAAAAUACUUCAACAGAAACUUUUAUGCAGGGCGGAAUGCUAAUCACUGUGUUUCGUGGAUGGAUCUGUGAGCCAUACUUCAGGUGC
rnacentral:sRNA from 1 species